rnacentral:rRNA from 1 species
AGGGUUCGAUUAUGGCUCAGGACGAACGCUGGCGGCGCGCCUAACACAUGCAAGUCGAACGAGCGAGAGAGAGCUUGCUUUCUCGAGCGAGUGGCGAACGGGUGAGUAACGCGUGAGGAACCUGCCUCAAAGAGGGGGACAACAGUUGGAAACGACUGCUAAUACCGCAUAAGCCCACGACCCGGCAUCGGGUUGAGGGAAAAGGAGCAAUCCGCUUUGAGAUGGCCUCGCGUCCGAUUAGCUAGUUGGUGAGGUAACGGCCCACCAAGGCAACGAUCGGUAGCCGGACUGAGAGGUUGAACGGCCACAUUGGGACUGAGACACGGCCCAG